rnacentral:lncRNA from 1 species
UAAGAUAUUUUUGAAAUUUUGAAAGGUAUAUUACAUAUUACCUCUUUAUAUUAAUAAAUUAAAUUACCAUAUUAAUUCCCCAUAUCCCAUUCUCCUAAUCCCAAUAUCCCACUAUCCUAUUCCCCUAUUUCAACAUUGUGCUUUCAAGUUUGCAGAUAUUAAAACAUAAAAGAAGUUACAGAUUAUUUUGUUGGGAAUUCGGUACUCACCCUGGUACCGGAUGUUGAGAAUCCGCAACCUGCUCCGAUACCGACUGCUGUGGAUUCGGUACCGAUUGUUAGGAUUCCACAACGGAAGUGUCGAAUCAGGUUUUAACCAUAAAUCAGUCUCCUCAGCAAAAACUGAUACAAUCACAAAAGAGAGAAAAAUCAAAAUAGAAAAUAUGCGGGUAAAAUAAGAUUCAUUAUGUCACGCCCCGGAUUACUCAUUUUUUCGGGCACGCUAACAGACCCGUCGUAUACAUAAAAAAAUUUUCUGUAUGCGAAGUGAAACAGUAGAAGUAUCUGUAAUCAAACAAUACUUUUUCAAACAGUAGUAUAGAGCUGCUAGGAAAAAUAAACCAUAUAUAAAAAUAGUGGUUCAAUACAUACAUGUCAUCCUGGAUACAAAAAUACUCGCUCUGGCGAGAUACAACAUCUGUAUGUAAAGAACCAAAAACUACAACUACCUGUAACUGGUAAUCCUCUAGCUCUGCGACUCUGGAAGGGCUCUAGCUCGCGACACCCUUACUAUGAUCUGAAUCUGCAACAGGCGAUGGCUCUGCAAAAACAGAGGUAACAACGGGCGUGAGAACUACUGCAAAAAGAAGUAGUCCUCAGUGGGUACCGCCCUUAAACUCAUCGGUUCACCCACCAAGUCUACGGAUAAGUGCUCAACGAUAGAAAAAAAAGCUGGAAUAAAUCUACAGCUAUAUGCCACUACUCUAUCGUAAUCCAACACUACUAUCUGUAGAAUAAUAUUAUCUCAGACCCAAUCUCACUAAGGACUGUAAACAUAUCCAUCUCAGGGACUGUGAACACACCCGUCCCGACCGGUUGCAACUAUACAGCUACAUCCACACUAAGCAGUCCGUGGAGAGCAAGUCCAACCUGCACGAACACCGAACGCAAUCGCACAGCGCUCGUCUCCAGAGUGGCACUCGUGGGAGCUAUCCAACCGAGUAUGCAAGCGUAUCUCUGUCGAGCUCAGUCAGGCUCUCACAAGCCAAAGUCAAGUAAACAAAGUCUAAUAGGUCUAACAACCCAACUUACGUGCCCUUGGCACAAUCUGAUACAAAAAUAGCAAUCUGAGUCCACCGUCAACCCCGACGGCACCCGACACUCCGAAACAGCUUAGACUCUACUGUAAAAAUAAGCUCGGCAUUUUAGCACGAGCGUAAAUGCAUUCUAAACUAUCCUGGAUAUCUACCGCGCUGAAACAGCAGUGAUACAACCAAACCACGACUCCUAGAGCUAAAUCAGGUAGUUUAAGCAUAUGACGGGGUCGAAUCACUAGUUUUUUUCUAAGUCAAAUUCCAAGUCCAACAUGUAUAAUUUAUCCAAUUACUAAGCAUGCUCCAAAUUCAAAUUUCAAUAACAAGCUAAUCAAUGAAUUCGAACUAAUCUUGAUAUACCAAAGCUGAAAUUGUACAUGUCUACUAUGCAUUAUACUUAGAAGGCAAAACCGAUGAUAAACCCACCUCUCGCGCAACCCCACAGCAGCAAGAAGGUUCCGAAUGGCUGGAAGCUUCAGCCGAGAUCACCUACAACUAGCAACUGAGAUACUUGAGAGAUCUAACAUCAAAAAACCCCUCAAAACCAUCAAUCAAAAGCAAUUCAGCCCAAAACUGAAAUCUUGCUCAAUUACAAAGCUAAUUUCACCUUUCAACUCACAAAUCAGGUGUAGAAAGGUCCCAAAAGCAGUGAACUAUGCUGGAGAAUAAUCCUCUGGUUCAAAACCACUCUUUUUCCGAGAUCUAAACACAAAAUCAUCAAAUUUGCAUCAAUAACUCCAAAUUUCAGCACUUAAGCUUAAAUCGACAACUCCAACGUCAAAACUCACCUAUUAUACCCCAAAUUCACAAUUCAGUUGAUGAACACCUUCAAAAGUUAGUAGGGAAUGAUGGCGCAACUUCCACUGGUCGAGGUUCCAGCUCUCUCCACGAAUUGGUCCUUAACAAUCAAGAAAAACUCAAAUUUAAGACCAAAACAUCAGCAGCUCAGAAAAAUCCAAAAUCGGCCAAGCUAACCUCAACCAAAUCCUAUGAAAUUGGGCUCGACGGAUUCCUCUCGAAGUCUAGAAUCCAACAAAUCAAGUUUCAUGGAAAAGGGAGCUUCCUACGUCGCACAUGAGCCGAAACGCUGACGGUCGUUGUUGGAAAACUGCUAGGACAGUACUACUCAAGGAAAACUUGGUGAAUUUUAGCAAAUUUAGAGGAAUUAGAGGGGUUUGGAUGCAAAAUGGCCUUCACUGUGAAAAAAGGGAGAGAAGGGUUCAUCAGGGUUGAGCUCCUCCUAUUUAUAGGGUGCUGGGAUGGUAAAAUAAGCCUUAGGAACUUAGCUGCUAACCUGUUGUUCCUGCAGAAAACAGGGAAUUCGGGCGCCCAAAACCAUCUUCUGGGCUCCGAAACCUCCAGGCUACACAAAGCUUCCCCUUCGGUUCCUCCGGCUGCGGUCUGAUGCACCCUAAACCAGUUCCGGCGGACCUCACCUACCACCCACACGUGUCAACACAAUCGAUACUCACGAGGUGCACUUUCGGACUCACAAUCCGGGCGCCCGAAACAUGGAUCCGAAUUGCCUUCCAAUUCUGUCCAGUUCUGCACUCAAGUUCUGGGCGACCCAAACCCUAUUCUGGGCACCCGAAUCUGGCAAAACUCCAGUUUUGCUUAUUUGAGUUUGCCGAAUCCAUUUCUGCAUCCCUUUCGUGCAGAAAUGACUCCGACUCAGUCCGACACUCUCCAGAUGUGUUGACCAGUCACUAAUACUAUAGCCAAUCCUAUCCAAACCUCAGGAACACUACACAUCAAAUAAGAGAAGAUUACACCUGACUCAUCUUCUAUAAUAAAAUAGCUACAAAGCCUUCUUUCUCGAAUCUCUCAUAUCAUUCUCUCAUCUUUUAUUAAUCUAAAAGACUACUCACUUAUAGACGCAUCCGUACAUAAGGUGCAUCCAACUCACUAUCUCUCUCUCUUUUUCUCUCUCUGGUACGGCACCCAAGGCUCCAACCGUACUCCCUCAAGAGCACACACCUAAUUAAUUAGCCAAUGCAUUAUUUAUAAUGCUCAACUUAAAACGUACCCAAUCCUAUUAAUUAAUAUCUAAAUCUAUCUUAAUUAAUCUCGAAUAAAUUUAAAUAUUAAUCAUAAUUUAGUUAUGUUUAUCCUCUAAUUAAUAUUUAAAUCUUAAUUUAUCUCCAACAUAUUUAAAUAUUAAUUCUUAUCCAAAUAGGAUUCAACUACAAAUCUAACUAAAUUCUAACAAUCUCCACCUUGGUUGGAUUUGUAGUCUUCAACUCCAACGUCGAGCUUACCAUGCAAACUCCACCUUGAGCUUGUCUUCUCCACUCGAUGUUGGCGCAUCUGUCGCUCGGCCUCGAGCAACUGCACUUCCACGAACUUUUGGAACCCAAACGGUUUUCGCUCUCGUUCUGACUGUACUCCCGUUCAAAACGUAUAAGUUUUCGCGCUUGUUCGCUUCGCACAUGACCCGAUCUCAUUUUCGGACCCUCAUAGCUCCACCUGAAGCUGAAAUAUCACAACCCUUUGAGUCCAACGCGCCUAACGAGAUCAAAUUUCGUCUUAAUCGAGGAACAUGUUGCACACCUGUCAGUGUCCUCACGACCUCAUCGUACAUUCAGAUCUUCACCGUACCGACUCCGAAAACUUUGCACAUCGUCCCGUUCCCCAUCAGAGCCUUUCCACCCUUGAUCGCUUUAUAAGUGGCAAAAGACUCUUUCUCCAGACAAACGUGAAAGGAACAUGCCGAAUCGAGCACCCACGCACCAUCCGAAAUUUUAGCACCUCCGGUCGCAGCAUAUAGCACAUCAGAAUCGAUCAUCUCCGAUUCUAUUGCCUGCGCCAUCGCUGUUAUCUCCUCGUCCUGGUUCACGACAGUUUUCUCCUUCUGUCGCUUUAACUCCUUCAGAUCAUCUUGAAGUUUUCGACAGUUGCGCUUAAUAUGUCCUUUCCUGUGACAGUAAAAGCACUCUACCUUAGAUAGCAGCUUCUUCUGUCGAUCUCUAGUCGCCAAUGUUGUCGACUCCUUCUUCACUCUCACCACCAAAGCAGUAUCCCGACUCUGCGUGCCAGACUCCUGAGUCAUCUUCCGCAUCUCGUUCGAGAGAAGCGGAGCAGUGAUCGACUCCACGCUUAUGGUCUCCUUGCCAUAGAGCAACGUUGUCACGCCUCGGGACCCGGCAUAGGCCCGCCCGGUGCGUGCCUAGACCCGCCAUAUGCCUGCACAUAUAAGGCGUCUGCAACAAUAGCGAUAAAUGAACAAGAAUAAAGAGUAUCUAGAGAUAUCAGAGCAAGUAUACAGCUAGAUUCUAUCAACAAGUAGAAUCAAAGAAAACUAAACUACUAAAGUAAAGUGUAAAGUAAUACAUCAUAAGUCUCAUGACACAUCAAAAGGGAUGGUCUCUAUACACAGGUACAAAUGUCUCAACCUCUCCAAAACAAAACCCAAAAGAAAGGUAGACCACCUAUCGUUGAAUCUCUUGCUAGCUAGCUCGAGGCGAUUCCUUUCCCGCGAUCCCGAGCCUCUCCCGGAGUGGAAGGCUCUGAAAGAAAACAUAAAACAGAGAGCGUGAGAACUAUAAUUUAUAGUUCCCAGUGGGCAAUUACCGACCUCAGCACAAUGCACCACUAGGCCCAAAGCAGAUAUGAUAAGCGACUAAUAAACUGCAGGUAUAAAAGCAUGUAUAGAAAUGCUAAACUACUAUGCCGCAAUAUAACAUGUGUCAACAUGGUGUACAUCUAUUCUAUCAUGAUCCAAUAUACUAAUACAUAUCUGGUAUGCUUUAUCAUGGCAACCAAGUAUACUAAAAUGCAAUGAGCAAUACUAUCAAGUAUACUACAUGUCCAAAUGUCCAAUAAAUCCAACUACGUUAUGCUAUCAAGUAGUGAUUGUCAUAAUACUGUUUAAUGUCCUCGUUCAAUCUCAUUUAGGACCUACACAUUUGUAGUCCAACUUGUGCCACCUAGCUGCUUGUGGUAGCCCAUCAUCCCACACUAGAAAUGAGUCUGUCCCAUGGGGCCCUAUAGGCGUCUCAAUCCCGCACGAGCGAGCUCAAGGAUCCGGCCAUCAUGUCCCUAACAUGGAAAUAAUCACUAGCACCCCAAAGGUCUAGUCCAAGUCCCAAAGUAAGGUUCAACCACACAUUAAGUUUAAUGCCCAUUUAUGACAUUUUGCCUUACUAUGUCCAAAUCCAAAUCCAACACUAAUGCCACUUCAUGACAUUAGGUUUUACUAUGUCCAAUCAUAUUCGAAGUCUAAUGCCACUUCAUGGCAAUAUCUAUUCCUAGUCCACAUAUAUGUAUAUGUAUAUUCCAAGACCAAUGCCACUUUAUGACAUUAGGUCCUCUACUAUGCCCAACAUGAGUUUUAAGUCCAAGAGUGUAUUGUACAUGUCAUUUUCACUACAGAAAACAUAAUUCCAAGUCACGUAUAAGAAUGCUAUCCCAACAUGAAUAACUCUCUACUAUAUCGAGGUCCAAAUAUGCAUUAUACAUAACAUGUGCAUUUUAAGCAUUCUAAAAUUCACAAAUAUUCUAUCUAAUAUGAAUAUGCAUGAAGUUCCAUGAUACGACAAGUACAAUCAUCAUAUGAGAAUUUAUCUCAUUUUGGUGAGGCCAAACCUACCAAGUCUCCUCGAAACCCUUCGUUCGCGCCGACGAAGGUGCCCACGACUCUCCUAGCACCCUAAAGAUAAUAUUGGGAGAGUUAAACGAACGAAACGAACAACCCAAAGGUUAAACAUUAACCAACUCAAGAAAAUGGCAAAAACUCACCUAAGUGUAGAAAAUUCCUCUCAAUCCUCAAAUGAGAGCUAGAACCCUUCCAAUCCAACAUAGGGGAAGGUUCUAAUCCAAGCAAUUGAACUCCAAAAGCCCUAAAUCCAAAAUCUCGAAAUAAACCUUAAAUUACUCAUUUCUAGGGUUUCUAUAUAAAAAUCAUACAAAACAUGAUCUAGAGAGGGGGAGAAGGCUACCAAUCUCUAAAGAAGCUUCAAUAAGGCUUGGGAUAAGCUAGGGUUGAAGAUCUCUCGUCCAACAAGCUCCAAUCCAAUCUCCAAGUCUUCUCCAAUAGUGGAAAAGCCACCAAGAUGGAAAAAGAGAGCAAAAGAUGUGUUUAAUCCCCAAAAAUUCCAACCAAAUAGUAGAAGAUCAAAGAGAAGAAGUGGAGGGCUCCUUACCUCUCUCUCCUCUGUUUCCAAACUCAGAAAAACCCCAAAGGGUCGUGGGGGUAUUUGUAGUAAUGUUACAAUUCCAAAAACACCCCUAAAAAACUGCCAGACUACAGUUUGCAAAGUGUACUGGUACACGGAAAAGUGUACCGGUACAACACCCCAGUACGCGCAAACCCGAGUCUCGGGUUGGCAGAAAUCUGCCUUUUGUAUUGGUACAAACCCAAUAUUGUACCAGUACAACCCCUUGUUCCGGUACAACAUCAAUGUUCUACCGGUACAACACUCUGCAGAACCCAACCCGAGAGCAGCCUAAGUCCUUCUCUUUGGAGACCUUAGUGCUAAGUUUUAAACCUCGAUUCUCGAAAUGCGAGGCAUAGGUCGGAACACUGUCAACGACCCUCCAGAAAAUCUGAAAAAAUUCAGAUCAUAGAUCAAACAUUCGAAUCUUGCAAUUUGCACAAGUCCAGUGUGCUACAAACGUGGUCACUAGAUGCUCAUAUGUCGUCUACAGUGAAGAUAAUAAAAUCAGCGCCUUAUCUUCGUCAUCCAGAUUGACUCCGAUGCUAGUCAACUGGGCCACCACCUUGUUGAACUCGUUCAGAUGCUCGUGUAGGCUCGCCGCUUCUUGCAUCUGCAGUGUAAACAGUCGCUGCUUCAGAUACAUUCUAUUCGUCAGGGACUUGGCCAUGUACAGAUCUUUCAAUUUCUUCCACAACUUCGCCAGUGUUGUCUCGCUGGCUACGUUGUAAAGAACCUCAUCUGCUAAUGAUAGAUAAAGCGUACUCAGCGCCUUCCGCUCCAUCUUCGUCCAUGCCGCAUCCGUGACCUCCGCCGGCUUCGCCUUUUUUCCGUUCAACGUCUCAUCUAAUUCUUGCUGUAUAAGGAUUGCCCGUAUUUUAAUUUGCCACAAUCCAAAAUUGUUCUUGCCAUCGAACUUUUCGAUUUCGAAUUUUGUGGCCAUCUUCGUCGAUCUCUCCCGCAGAUCAGUAACCUUUAGAUCUGAUACCAAUUGUUGGGAAUCCGGUACUCGCCCCGGUACCGAAUCUUGAGAAUCCACAACAUGCUCCGAUACUGACUACUGUAGAUCCGGUACCGAUUGUUGGGAUUCCGCAACGGAAGCAUCGAAUCGGAUUUUUACCAUAAACCCGUCUCCUCAGCAAAAGCUGAUACAAUCACAAAAGAGAGAAAAACCAAAACAAAAAAUAUGCGGAUAAAAUAAGAUUCAUUAAAUAAGAGAAUAUUACACCUGACUCCUCUUCUACAAUAGAAUAGCCACAACCUGAACCUUCUUUCUUAAAUCUCUUCUACCUUUCUCUUAUCUUUUAUUAAUCUAAAAGACUACUCACUCAUAGACGCACCCGUGUACAAGAUGCAUCCAACUCACUAUCUCUCUCUCUUUUUCUCUCUCUGGUACGGCACCCAAGGCUCCAGCCGUACUCCUUCAAGAGCACACACCUAAUUAAUUAGCCAAUGCAUUAUUUAUAAUGCUCAACUUAAAAUGUACCCAAUCCUAGUAUAUUUAGGAUUCCAACUUUAAUUAAUAUUUAAAUCUAUCUUAAUUAAUCUCGAAUAGAUUUAAAUAUUAUUCAUAAUCUAGUUAUGUUUAUCCUCUAAUUAAUAUGUAAAUCUUAAUUUAUCUCCAAAAAAUUUAAAUAUUAAUUCUUAUCCAAAUAGGAUUCAACUACAAAUCUAACCAAAUCCUAACAUAUUUGAUUAGUAAUUUGUGUGGGGAGAUAAGGGCUUAAUUGCUACUUGUAAGAAGAUAAGGAAGAAGAGUCUUAUUGUGUUUUUGUGAAAGAUAAUAUAUGCUUGUUGAAAAAUAAUAUGGUUUAUUUUCAUGCUCUUCGUUAAUUUAAUUAUUAGUUUCACAUAAAAAUUGAGUUUGUUAAAUCUUAAAUUGCAUUCAAUCUAACAUAGAUACAUAAAAAUUUCAAUAUGAAUGUAAAACUUUAGUUUUACUGCUGCUAAUUCUAAUACAUAAUGAUAAGUACAUAUUAGUGUAUACUGUUAUUUGAAUAAUAUUGAAUAUUUAUAUUUGAUUCAUAGUCGAAUCCAAAGAAAUAUCCGGCUAUCUGAAUCUUUAUGUAGCUGAUAUGAUAACGAAAAUUUAGCAUCCAAUACAUAUCAGCAUCCAAAUUUGUAUACGAAAAAAGAAAAAAGAAAAAAGAAUAAAGAAUGAGUAUAUGGCUUCAUCAAAUAUCCAGUCAUAUCCAAUCUGUUUUCACCCUUACCUUAAACUUGAAAUUAAAAUUAUGAAUAAAUUUAAUUCAGAUUGUAAUUCUUGUGUUCAAAUUGGAACUCAAAAGUGUAAAUUAGUUCUAUAUUUUGAAUUCAAGUUUCCAUUUAAAUUGCGACUAACCAAUUUAGAAUUAUAAUUUUAAUUUGGAGUUUUAACUAAAUUUGAAUUCUAUGUUUAAACUUAUAUUAUUAUGUUCUGAUUUUAUAAGCUAAAUUUUUAAAUUUUAUGUUAUAUUUUAAUUUUUAAACUUGCAUUUUAUUUUAAAUAUUUUUCUUGCGAUAACUAAAUUUUUUUUUCAUCUCAACCAAACAAUAAAAAUAGAAAUGAACUCUUCUUAGGCUUCGUUUGAGAUUGCGGGGACAUUGCACGUGCGGUGAGAAACAACGAUGAGAAAAUAUUCUGAUUGUUUCUGUACGUAAUAUUGCGUUUCGCAUACUGCGGUUAGUUGGUUACGAUAUAUUUUCUGCGGUCCCAUCGGAGAACGCAAAAAUAUAUUUCUACAUUCUUUUUCUUUUUCUACGGUCCCAUCGGAGAACGCAAAAGUAUACUCCUUCUCAACUCUAUUCUAUCUAAUAGCGUUAGAUCCACCUCAAUAUCAAAUUAAGCCUUAUUUCGAUUAUCCUUGUAAAUCAAACAUACGAGAAGAUUUCAGUGUUCUAUUUCCAAUUCCAGACCAUUCGGAUUAUGAUUUGAACCAAACGCGCCCUUAAAAUUUGUACAGUCAAGAUAUGCAAACCACAAAAGCAGUAAAUGGAGGAAUAGUAAUUCCGCUAAGUAAACGAUGUCGAAAAAAACUAAAAUUUUAUUUCUAAGAGCUUCAUAUACCUUACAUCAUAUUUAACGGUGUGAAUCGUUAAUUUGAACACCUUAAGAUCGAAAACAAGACUAUAGUACCGAAACUCCGAUACUGUAGAUAGUAUAGUAGCCUAAUUCUAUAUGUAUAUAUAUAUUGAUAAUGAAGCACAGCCUAAAUACAGAUACAUUAUACACUAUAACUAUGAAGAAACAUAUAUAAUGGCAACUGCUCAAACACUAAUAAAGGAUUAAAAAAAAAUCACAAAUGGAACAAUAAGCACAAGAAUAGUUGGCACCCAGACACUAUAAUGAUGCUAAAUAAUUGAGAGUGCAUAGAUAUAACUGUUACACGCUCGCUAAAUAAUCCCGCAAAAAUAUUCAGUUUCAUCUCAUAAAUACAGUUCAACCAUAAAUACUUCAGUCGACGAUAGAGCCCAUUCAUAUGAAAAUAGUCCAUCCGUAACAUAUUCCACAUCGCUCGCACAAGUAAUCCGAUUCAUGACACGAUUUCAAGCUUUUCCCUGCAAUAAAGAUAAGACAUUAGCUUCCGCAAUGUGUUAUCUAGAAGUUAUUCAUAUUCUUUCCAUCAAUCUGAAAAGAACCAUCGCAUGUGUCAUCAAAAAGUUUUUACUGUGAUCUACGAUGAUUGAUUUAUAUCAAAUAAAUAAAUUGAUACUUAAUCUACUAGAACAAUUUGAUGUAUCUUAAAUAUUCAUUUAGGGGCUUGCAGGAGCUUGAAGCCGCAAGAUAACUAUAAAAGGUUCAAGCACAGAUAACAGCGAACAGAAAAGACCAUAAAUCCUCCUCCACUCAUGCUUUUCUCAUCAAGUAUUGUACUAUGCUCUUACGCUAAUUGAAAAAUUGCGCCAUAUCUAAAGUAAAAAGUGAUAACGGGAACUGCUUUUUUUAAAAAAAGUAAACAAAAUUUAUAAUAACUUGUCCAAUGUAAUGUUUCCCCAGUUUUAUAUUCGUCUAGUGUGAAGUUUCUCUUGUUUUAUAUCUAAUUUGGAUUUUAAAUGUAUAGAACUGAAAUUACAUCUCCUAAGUGAAUUGUUGUUUUGAACAUAAGAAGUGGAUUGUGCUUGUUCACCAGCUGACAAAUCCAUCGGGCCAUUUCCCUACAGCAGUUGUGCCGUUAGAGGCUUGUAAGCAAGUCUGCACGAGUGCAGGAAUUCAUGGAUGUUUUGUGGAUCAGAAUAACAUACUCGGUGGAAUGCCCUGAUGUACUUUUUAAGUUAAGAAAACUGAAUGGAGGAUUGAUCCUUUCACAGUUCAUCCCCUGAUGGCAAGGUAGUUCGACUGAAGGCCAGCAGUCCUAGUAACCAACAUGCCUGUGAAUCGUGAUGCACAUCAAACGGGUAAAAAACCAAAGAAUAUAAGGUGUUUAGAUCAAAUGAUCCCAAAAUUCACAAUCUCUAAUGGCUACUAGGGGCCAAUUGCUCAUUUGACGGGGUCAGUUACCCUUAAUUUAAGUUAAAAUGAAGUAUAUAUAUAUAUAGAGUCCGGCUACUAUACUAUUAUGAGUAUGAUCGCCCUCGUACUCAUAAGUUGUUUUCGAUGAUAGAGCUUCCGAAUCGACGAUCCACACCAUUAAACGUUAUCUAGAGCACUUGAAACAUCUAGAAAUCAAAUUUCAUAAUUUUUCGACAUCAUUUCCCCUACGAUCAAAAGCUCACAAAAUUGACAAUUUUUAACACCCGGUAUGGAAUACUUGCUAGUUUAACGGUGUAAAAGAAUCUGAAUAGGUUGAAUUUUUUAUAGAAAAUUCUAUUCACUACAUAGAUAGAGAUCAAUAACUCCGAUCUUAAAUUGAAGGAUCCGAUUAUCCAUUUUUAAGACAUCGUUCGAUUUUGACCGUUCAUUUUAUGCCCGCUUGAUGGACUUUAUUAUGAUUUCGAAAAAUUACGAAAUUUAUUUUCUAGAAGUUUCAAAUACUCUAGAUCAUAUUUAACGGAGUGAUUNUAGAAGCUCCAAACCAAGCUCCAAAGUCCUCUAGGGUUGAAGGUUGAUCCUCAAACAAGCUCCAACCAAGAUCUCACACUUCUCCAAUGAUGGAAAACCCACAAAAAGCAAGAAGGAGAAGAGAAAAGAGAUCAAAACUAGCAAAAAUCCAACAAAAAUGGAGAAGAAACCAUAGGGGAGGAGUUCUCACCUGUUCUCCACUGGUCUAGGGCUCAAAGGAGCUCACAAAGGGGCUGGGGUGACAUAUAUAGAUGUUGUAACAAUUGCAAACACCCCCCUGCCCGAACUGCAGCCCAGACUGCACUGUGUACCCGUACACGGGUUUGUGUACCGAUACACCACCCACGAAAAGCCAACCCGAGCCUCGGGUUUGCUGGGACAUAGCCUGUGUACCGGUACACGGGCCCGCGUACCGGUACAACCAUCACAACGUACCGGUACAGCCAUCAAGUCCGUACCGGUACACUGCCCUCUAAAGGCUACCCGAGAGCUAGCCAAAAAUCCAACUUUUUGGAUUUUGACGCAAGGUUUUAAACCACCAUUCUCGGGACUCGAACCAUAGGUCGGAACACUGUCGACGACCAACCAGAAAAUCUGGAAAAGCUCAUAACCCAUUCAAUCACUCGAACCCAGCAAUUUGUAAGGUCCAGUGCGUCACAAUAUAUCAAGUCACAUCCAAUGUUGAAUUGAGUAAUGUUUCCCUUGACUUCUUUUAUGCUUGUUCAGUUUCUACAAUUCAUUUGGUCGAUGGACAAGACAAAUAAAUUAUAAUUUUCUAAAAUUAUGGUAUUCAAUUCCUAGAAUCUUGAAAUCCUAUAGAUCAUGUUUGACAGAGUAAAUUGUCGAUUUGGAUGCCUAGUCAUUCAGAGUGAUCCGAUUUUACCAACUUACUGAUUAAACCAUAGCUGAGAUACUAAAAUAUACCUCUAUCCUACUACAAUGCCAAUAUAUUACCAAAAUACUCCUAUACUUCUAUAAAUAAAUCAAAACAAAAUGCCACAGCCUCAUCCACGAUUCCGCGCUGAUUUAACAUCCCUCAUUCGAUGUAAUACACUGGACUUUCGCAAAUUGCGGAGUUCGAGUAUGUGGAAUGGUGUGUGGAUCACUCCUACAUGUUCUAAAAGGUUAGAACAAGUUUUUGGAUAAGUUUGAGAGUGAUCGGAAUGUCGGAAACAAGAAAGUGCAUUGCUCGGGCGAAAAUCAGCAUUUUCUGCUUGGUGUACCGGUACAGCCAUUAUGGUGUACCGGUACACAAUGCAGGAACGUGGCAGCUUGGGUAUUUUGGUAAUUUCACAUUUGACACCUACCUAUUUGAUCCCAGCACGACUCUUGGAGCUUGCUGGAGUGUGCUAGAGCCCAGAGAAGCAACCUUGCACCAUUUUCUCUCUCUCUCUCUAGGGUUUUUCUCUCUCUACAAAGAAUUCGCCGAUUUCGCUCGUUUUCGUCGUCGCGCGCAUUCUUCGCUGGUUGCGAGCGUCGCAGCACCUUUGUGCACGUGCAAGAGAGCGUUUUGGAGGGAUUUUCGCAGCCCUGGACCAGUGAGGUGCUGGUUGGAAGCUUGAGAAGGUAAACGACUUGAUUUUUCCNUUAAUCUAAAACUGCCCAUUGACCUGUCCAUACACAUUACACAACUGGCCCACUCUUCUCUAUCUUCAUGUAUACUUCAAUCAUAAUUAAUUUAAACUACACAUCUACGUAUCUAUAUAUAUCACACAAGUGGCCCAUUCUCCCAUUUCUUCGUACAUUGAAAGGUUUGUUACUUGUUCAUAAGCAAAUGACUCUUUUGAAUUCCCGUAAUUCGGAAACUAUUAAUUGCAUUAGUAAAAAGCUAUACCUCAUUCCUCACUUUUCUUCAUCUCUAGAACUGCAGGCUCAACUUAAGGCUUGCUGGUUGGUACCUGCGGCCCCAAGUUCGAAGCUGUAAUAUCCCAGACGAUUCGCAACCGCCAGUGAUGAGAAUUCUCUGAGGUUUGGUCGGCGAUGAGGAUGAUGGGCACUCGCAAUAAGGGAUCAGGUGAGAAGAGAAGGAAUUGAGGUGAAAGAUUAGAGAGGAAAAGAGGAAGAGAUGGGGAUGAGGUAAAGGAAGAAGAAGAGAGAAGGGAAUAGAAGCUUGGGGAAGAAGUACUUGUAAUUAAUUCAAUGUAUCUCUUCCUUACAACUCCUGGCUUAUAUAGCCCCUCCCUAAUUACAUUGUUUAGGUUAAUUAACUAUGCUAAUUAGCUAGUAAUAAACUGUAGCAGCUGCAAAAGAUAUAGUUAUACGUGGGCUUAGUAUAGGCUCCAUCUUCUCGGGCUUGGACCGCCUCUUCUCAGUCCGUGGCUCAACAUGGUCACCGGGGUUGAAUUCGGGUAUGCUCUCUUCCCCUCACCCAAUGCCCGUUCCCCGACCACCCGAUCCAACUUAACCCAAUCCCCUUUAUUGUUUGGGAGCCUCAGAUACUGCAGACCCUCCAGAUUCUUUGACCCUGUUCUACCAUGUUCUUCUAUUUCUCUUGCUACUAUGCCAUUGCGCCUUCGCCGGUCUCCCCCUUUCGGUGCUAGGCCAUUACAGAAGCUUAGUUGCUUCACAUUUCAGCUAAGUUCAUUUCUUAAAAAAAAAUAAAUAAAUAAAAGAAAAUGAACGAAGCUUGUAGUAUGCUACCUUCCUCUCAAAAAGCUUAGGAGGUCAAUAGCACAAUCCGAGUUCACAGUCGAAAGAGCUCUAUUAGAGGUCACCCCUACUCUUUUGAUGUGGUUAAUGAUUAUUAAGUUUCUCAACCUAAUCCUUUCACCUUUUAGAGACUUUAAUCAUUUCAGUUGGUGUUGCACUUCUACUUGUUUCUAGUUCUCAUUAAGAUGUAUUGCUUAUAGAAGAUAGUUUCAAUUUCGCAUGUUCAAAAGUAAGGCUGCAUAGCUCUUGUUUAGAAAGAAGGAGAAGCGCUAGUCCAAGAGUGAAGGAAGGAAAAUCACAGGGAAGAUAUAGCCGCCUUUCCACAGUCAAUGCCAUAUCUAAUUCUAGCUGGCAAACUAACCACUAGAAAAUAUUUUAAACAAGAAAAGUAUCUAGAGUGUCAAACCCACUUCCUCUAUUGCUAAGCAAAAACCAACCUACCACAAGAGAAACAAGAAAUUCUCAAGCUGACCCACUUUCGACAUUCGAAUACCCACUACUCAGGUUUUCACAUCCAAGGACAGGGAAUAAAAGUCAAGAGAAUAGAGAAGUAAUAAAUACUAAAGGGCAUAAACAUAAUCAGCUAAGCUUUACGGUCAAAGGGCACUAGCAUGGGGUGCGCCGAUGUGCCAUUGACACUGCAUAGCACGCCUCGGCAGAACGCCUGUUUUAGAUGUCGGCACAGGUUGCACGGGUUUAUCAGCAUGGGUGGCAUGUGCAGUACGUCCCAACAGUACCAGACCGUGCCGACUGCCACGACAAUACUUUACACGCUAGAAACUUUAUAGUUCUAUACUAAACCAAUUUAUUUAUUUAAAUUAAUAAGCCAAAAUUUGCAAAAAAAAAAAAAAAAAAAAAAAAAAAAAAAAAAAAAAAAAAAAAAAAAAAAAAAAAUUUGCAAAAAAAAAAAAAAAAAAAAAAAAUCUUACUUUUCGUUCACAAAGUCAUUUAUUAGUCCUUUCAUUAAUUUUAAUUGGUCAAUGUUAAAUUCGUCUUUGAGUUUAAAUAAAUAAGGUAAAUUAAUCCGCAGUCACUAGACUCCUAUAAUCCAGAGUCUCUACACUUCUAACUGAAAUUUGAGUUCCCCGAUGAUAAGGGCAUUUCAACUGAGGCACCGAGCUUCAAUUCUACUUCAAAUAAGUAACUUUGUUCAAGUCCAUACCAAUUUUCUCCAAAUAAAAUGACUAGGUGGCAACUAAUUUGGUUGCAAGUUACAACAUCGCCUGGAGGUGCCAUCGCUACUACUUUUAUCUUUUGAAGAUGAUUUUGGCUACUAAUUCACUCGGCAAAUCACCUUUCGAAAUGUUGUAAAAAAAAGCUUAUCUAUAAGCAGUUAAAUCAGUUAAGGGUGGUGAUAGCCACCGUUCCGAGGAGGUAUACGGAGGAAACGUGAUUGAAAUAACAAUUACCGUUGUUCAAUGAUGAUUAAAUGAAACUAAUUAAAAUUUGACAAUCUAAAUGAAACUCCAAACAAAUAGAUAGCAAAACCAGCAUCAAGAAGAAGAAGAAGGCAUGGAUCAAAUUAGUGCGAGUCCGAACCUAAGUUAGGAUAGAGAUGGCGAGAUCCAGACAGGCGGAGGCCAGUUGAAUCGAGGGUCGGGAGAAUGGCAGGGCUGGAGACUGGCAUCUUCGAGGCAGUAUAUCCCGACGUCGCGCCUCGCCAGUCUGACCUCCUCGCUGUACAGCAUGUCCCACCAGUCGUCGGUGAGAUAGACGCAAUUCGGCCGCAGCCCGCGGACAUCUUCGGGCGAGAGCAACAUGGAAGAGCCGAUCCCGAGGAACAGAGCUCGGCCGCCCAGGCUGCUGAUCGGAAUCCAUCGAUUUGUUCCCCAGUCGAGCCUCAUGACCUUGAUUUCGCAAGUCGUCAAGGUUUUCGCGACAUCGUCGAAGUCGAAGUUCCUCCACACCUGCAGGAGAUCGCCGGUGGCGUCGUCGGCGACGAGGUACCUCCUGUACUGUCCUGCGACAAGGGGGUCGAACUGGCUGGCGACGAGCCUGACGACGUCGGCGUAGCCUCCGCUGAGGUCGACGGCGAGCAGAUCCCCAUUGCCCGACAGAGCGAGGAGGCUGCCGCGGCGGAAGGCGACGUCGUGGAAGCGCCAGCCGUCGUCGUGGAGGCGCCACCUGUCCGCCCCCGCGGUGGUGAACGCGAGCUUCGACGCGAUGCCGUAAAGGGCGACGACGGUGAGGGGGCCGCCGGCGGCGGGGCUGGAGGAGAAGGCGACCUUGUCGAAGGAAAGGCCACGGAACUCCUCGGGCUUGUAGUGGAAGUAGUAGUCGGUGGGGUCGGAGAAGUGGAAGUAGGAGGCUACGGAGCCGUCGGGGGCGUAGGAGGGGUGGAUGUCGGGGAGGGUGGUGAUGGAGGGUAGGGGGAUUUCUUGCCCGGUGAGGGGGUUGAGGAGGGCGGGCUCGGAGAAGGGGUCGAGGGUGGCCAGCCAGCCGUGCUGGGAGCCGACGCAGUACUUGCCGCGGAGGCCGGGGACGGGCAGGCGGUGGAGCGUCUGGCCGGGGAGGCCGAGGAAGGUGAACUCGUCGCUGCGCUCGCCGUCGUCGUCGCCGCCGCCGCCGAGGAGAAGGAGGUAGGGGACGUGAGGGGACGGCGGGACGCCGGACACCGAGUGGGCCCAGAGCCGGCAGACCUUGCGGAAGGCCAUGUAGUCGAUCGCCGUCAGACGCGCCGCGAUGGCCGCCAGGACGCCCGACGAAAGGUCCGUCCAGUCCCUCGCCAUCGUGCGCACCACAAAGUACCUAACGUGAAGCGCCUGCUCGUCUUCAGAUUUGCGAAUUGAGACCACCCAACUCAACUCGACUCCUCUCUCUCUCUAUAUAUCUAAAUAAUUAAUACUAGUAAUCCUAUUCGAUCCUAUUCGGAUUCGUAUUAUAGGUCUACUCAAAAUGGAUGUUUAGAUUCCGAUAUAUUAUUAUUACGAAUAAUUAUCUAUAUACCCUUCGAAAUUUUAAAAAUAUCUAGUUUAUCCUUAUUUUUUUCUUUCUCAUAUAUAUCUCUCCUAUGUUCCCAAAAUCCCACGUUAUUAUGAAAUAUCUCUAUAGUUAGCACCGUUAAGUUAACUUGACGUGAGUUAAAUAUCUACAAAAGUUUUUUAAAAAAUCAAAAUAACUUUUUUGCUCUUAACUUAGGAGCAAAUAAGAAAUAUUGUUGAUAAUAGAAGGGUAUAUUUGAAAGGGCAAUUUCAUACAGAUAAGCUAUUGCUAAUAUUUUAUUAACAGAAUUUAACUCUGGGAGUAUAUUUGAAAUAGGUUGGAAUGUAAAAAGAGUAUUUUCAAUAUUAGCAUUAAGUGGGGUAAAUUAGAAAGUCGGAAACUUGUUAGGGGUAUAUAAGCAAUUAUUAUUAUUAUUAUUUUAUUAUUAUUAUUAUUAUUAUAUUAAAAAAACUUGUAUAAUCUGCCUAAAUUCUUAGUAUAUUGUUUAGUUCAAAAAUAAGAUAAUCUUACCUAUAGGAGAAGCAAAAAUUAAAAUAAUUUUUUAUUUAGAUGAGAAUUGGAUUAUUCAAAGAGAUAAGAAAAAUACUUUCCGAUGGUUCGAUUAGAAUAAUAGGAAUAACAUUUAUUAUAACUACAAAAUAAUAAUUUUUAUUUUAUUAAAAUAAUAAGAAUAGAAUUAUUAAUAAAAUAAUAUUUUAAGAAGUUUGUUAAUUAAUUAACUAGGAAUAUUGUAAAAGGAGAUGGAGAAGCAUGUUAAUUAGUUAAUUAAUUAUAAAAAAUAAAUUAAAUAGGUUAACUAAUUAAUUAAUUAUUUAGUAAGUGACAUAUUUACAUAAUAAAUUAAUUAGUAUAAUUUAAAAUAUUUAUUAGGAUAGUUUUCAGUUAUAAAUACGAUCCAGUUUUCCACCAUUAGAUCUCCUUUUUUUUAUCCAUUACAUCUUUUAGAUCAUGCUAUUAUGCCAACCACCCAACAAACCCUAUACAAGAUCAGCUAUAAGAUUUUACUGUUAUGUAUGUGCUAUCAAAGUUACAAUUUAUAUGCAUGUAUGUGCUAUCAAAGUUACAAUUUAUCAAUUACAUCCUUUAGAUCAUGCUAUUACUCCUGAACUGUCCGCUCACCCUGCUGGAUUCUCUUCAAAUCCUCCUCGAUCUUCUGUUUCAUACUGUUGGGAAAAUACAUCCCAUACAGCAUUCCACAGAACUCAUCCCACCUCAACUGCGUCGCCACCAGUCCCUGGUCUCGCCUCGCUCUCCGCCACCAAUCAUGUGCAUCAUCGGAUAGACAGUGUACUCCCAGAGGUAUCUACUCCCCCUCUGGAACGAAUAGAUCCUCAAAUAACUUCUCCAUCGCACUGACCCAUCCCUCAACAAUCGAGGCCUCAGUGCCUCUGCCAUCGAAGAUCGGUGGAUCAAAUCGGCGAAAACGAGCUAACAUCUCCGUCCACCGCUCCUGCUCGGCCUUAGUCAACAGUACUGGCCCCUAGCAGGCGCAACUGGCGCUACUGGAACUGCUGCCGAUGGAGGAACUGCUGCAGCUGGUGCUGUCACUGGAGUAGUCGGGGGUGGAACUGGCGACUCUGGUGGCCUCGGUACAGAACUCUGGGGCGCAACCAACCUCUUGCACAUCCUCUCCAAUAACUCCCCCUGCCGUCUCGUCACCUCUGUCAGAGCGGCUAACUGUGCACUCAAAUCCGGGGAUGCACUCGCCUCCGGUCGGGCCCUCUGCUCCACAACUGGGGGUGCACUCGCCUCUGCCUGCUCCGGCAUCUCCGGAGAUCUAGCACGAUCCUGCGCCAACUGCGCACGCUCCCGCAACGACGGUCGGCCUCAGCGACGAUACAUAGCUGUAAAGAACAAAACAGGGGUCAGAUACAAAAAAACACUCUCGACCCAAUCAAACGAAAGUCUAGAAGGCGGCCCCUGUUUCUCCUCAAAAUUAUGUCGUCUGCAGCCAACAUAAUUUUUCAGGACAAAACAGGAACUCCUCCAAUCACUCACUCCACUCUAGGAGGAGUUAGAACCACAAAUCGUUGACUUUCGCGAUAAAUCAUGCCUCUCGCGUCUUGCCUUCCUAAGGUUUGCCAAACUUAGGAUUUCUAGGUCCCAACGACCUACAACUAAGCUCUGAUACCAACUUAAUCUGUCACGCCCCGAACUACACGUUCCCCGGGCGCGCCGACAAAUCCGCCGUAUACAAAAGAAUUUUUCCUGUAUACGAAGCGAUAGCUGUACCUAUAAAUCAUACGAUACAACAAACAGUAGUAUAGAGCUGCUAGAAGAAACAGAAGAAAUACCAAACUAAGUUCCAUAUAUAUAAACCAAAAUCCAAGAUACAAAAACUACUCGCACUGGCGAGUUAAAGAUAGGUAUGUACAUAAACUCCAUCAAAACAACUACCUGCAGAAGGGCACCUCUAGCUCGGCUCGUCGGGUAGGGCUCUAACUCGCGACGCCCUUGCCUCGAUCCAGAUCAGCAAUAGCAGCAGCCGAAGACGAUGGCUCUGCAAAAGAUGAAGUAACAACAGGGCGUUAGAACUACUGUAAAAAUAAGUAGUCCUCAAUGGGUACCGCCCAAAACAAUAUCGGUCCACCCACUAAGUCUACAGAAGGGAGCAAGAAUAGUAGUAAAUGCAGGAAUAAAGUCUACCGCUAUCAAACACUACACUAUCAUGCUCUACACCGACCAACUGUAGAAAAAUAUUCAACCUGACCCAAUCCAAUCGGGACUGUAAGCAUACCCGUCCCCGGGACUGUGAAUACACCCGUCCCUGCCCCGUUGCGACUAUCGAGCUCUAUCCACACUAACUAGUCCUUGGAGAGCAAGUCCAACUGGCAUGAGCGACACCAAAGCGAAAGCACAUAGCCUGACUCCGGAGUGGCACUCGUGGGCGCUACCCAACCGAGUAUGCAGCGUAUCUCUGUCGAGCUCAAUCAGGCUCCAACUAGCCAAAGUCAAGUGAACAAGGUCAAAACAGGUCUACAAACCAAACCCACGUUCCCUCGGCACAAUCUGUGACCAAAACAAGAAUCUGGGUCCACCGCUAACCCGAACGGCACCCAACGACCCGAAACAGCCUAAACUCUGCUGAAAAAUAAGCUCGGCAUCCCAGCACGAGCGUAAAUGCCUUCUAAACUACCCCAAGUAUCCAUCGCACUAAUACUGCAACGAUAUAAUCGAAUCUCGGCUCCUAGAGCUAAAUCUGGUAGUUUAAGCAUAUGACGGAUCAAAACGCAUGUUUUCUCCUAAGUCGAAUUUCAAGUCCAACAUGUAUAAUAUAAACAUUCAUUUCAGCAUGCUUUUAUAUUCAUAUUACAUCCAAAAUGCUAAUCGAUGAAUUAAAGCAUGAUAUACAAAAAUCGAACUAUACACGUCGACUAAACAUGCACUUAGGAGCGAAACCGAUGAUACACCCACCUUUAGUGAAAAUCCUGGCAGCAAGAGGGUCUCGGAUCACAAGCAACACUGCUGGAAACACCUCCAAACCAGCAACAAAGCCCCUCAAGAUCUGGAUAUAACAAUUCACCCAAAAUCCAAUAAAAUUCAUCAAUUUCAGCCUUAAGCUUAGGAUUUCUCAAUUCCAAUGUCAAAACUCACCUAAUGAUCUCCAAAUCAGGUGAGAACAAUUCCAAAACCAGCAAAUACUGAGAGGUGAUCAAACUCAGGUCCAAAAUCCUACUUCCAACAAAGAUAGCAUCAAGAAAAGUUCAAAAAUCCCAUUUUCAGCUCAAAGUCAAUAGCAGUCUAGAAAAACUUCAAUUCGACCAAGCUAACCUCAACCAAAAUCUACAAUUCAGGGCUUCGUGGAUUCCUCUGGAAGUCUAGAAUCCAGCAAACCAAGUUUCGUCGAAAUCCGACCUUCCUACGUCGCGCACGAGCCAAAACACUGGAGGUCGUCGCUGAAGAACUGCAGAAUCAGCACUCCAUCAAGCUGGAUCAAUGGAAAUUUGAUGCAAUUUGAGGCAAAUCCGAGUGUUGAGAUGCUAAAAGGGACUUCUCUGUGAAGAAGGGAAGGAAAAAGCUCACCAGGGUCACCUUCCAUCUAUUUAUAGGCUGCUGGAGGAAUAAGAUAAGCCCCAAGAGAAACAGCUGCUAUCCAGUACUCAUGCAGAAUCGGGCGUUUCCGGGCGCCCGGAACCAUGUUCUGGGCGACCAGAACAUCCCGACUGCACAAAACGGGCUCCUCGGACUCUCCGCUCGCGGUGUGCUGCACCCGUAAAUGGCUCCGGCGGAACUCACCUACCGCCCUGCCACGCGUCGAAGCAAGCGGUAUUCACGAUGUCGAAUUUCCAGACCCACUUCUGGGCGCCCGGAACUUGGGAUCCGAAUUGGCUUCCAGUUUCAGUUAAAUUCAACACUCGUUUCUGGGCGACCCUAAAAAUGUUCUGGGCGCCCGAAACUGGCAAAACUCCAGUUUUGCUUAAUUGAGUGCGUCGAGUCCAAUUUUGCAUCCAAUUCGUACGGAAUUGACUGCGACUCAGUCCGACACUUUCCAGAGAUGUCGACCAGUCACUAAUACUGAAGUCAAUCCUAUCCAAAUGUCAGGAACACUACAAUAUACAUAUAUAUAUAUGUAUAUGUAUAUAUAUAUAUAUAUAUAUAUACUAUAUAUAUAUAUUAUAUAUAUUAUAUAAUGAGAGUUCCGGCUACUAUCUAUUAAUAGCAGCAAGUACUUGUGUGCUACCAAGUUUCCUGCCGUUAGAUUCUACCUUUUGAUCAUGUUUGUUCACCCGUUAGAUCAUACUUCUCAAGCCAAGUUGUUUUUUCUUGAUGUUGGGUGCUUCGAAUCGACGAUUGGCUCAUGAGUUGAUCUAGAGUAUUUGAAGUAUCCUAUAAAAAUAAUUUUUCGAUUUUCGAUAUCAUUUGCCUAGUGAUCCCAAGGAGCUCCAAAAUCAUCGAGAUUGAAAAUAAAAAUCUCCAAAAUGUGAUGGAAUGACAUUAAAAUUUAGAUUCAAGAAUUGAUCUUGUUUUAUAUGGCUAUAAAAAAUUUUCUAAUCAAAUUUUUCAGCUGAUUUGGAUAUUCAUACACUGUUAAAUCGUUGCAAAAGGCUUACCAGCCGGCCAUUAAAAUUAUUGAUUUGAGGCCCUUCAACAUCACUAAGGAAAAUGAUAAUUGAAAAAAUACAAAAGUUAUUUUCUAGGUACUUCAAAUACUCUAGAUCAACUCUCAAACGAGAGCGCGAAUCGUCGAUUCGACAAGUUCGAAAUGCGAAAAACACUUGAAACGCACGGAGGGCUCCGUGCUUCCAUAAGCAUACCAGCCCACUCUAUAUAUAUAUUAUAUAGGUACAUAUAGAGUGCAGCUAGAAUAUCUCUAAUAGUCCCUAAUGUAUGUUGUGUCUUUUUGAUUUUUAUGUCAUGAUAUGUGUUAGUAUGUUAUUGGUAUAUGAUGGUAAGGUGGUGGAGAGUAGAAUAGUGUUUGCAUCCAAAGUUUAUUUAAGUAAAUUCAAGGAGUAGACUCAAGGGAUAGAAAUUAGAAGCACCAAGGGCUUGAUGCUUCUAAAAAGUAUUCUAGCUCUAAAAUAUGAUAUAAUUAUAUUAUAAAAGUAUAUAUAUAUAUAUAUAUAUAGAGAGAGAGAGAGAGGAGAGAGAGAGAGAGUUGAGCUAGAAUACUAUCGGUAGUAAACGAGCCGUUUUACUACCGAUUUGUUUUCGAUGAUAGAGCUUCCAAAUUGACGAUCAACUCUGUUAAAUAUGAUCUAAACCAUUUAAACUACCUAGAAAUCAAAUUUCACGCACUUUCGAUAUUGUUUUUUUAUCCAUCAAUAAAAGUGAACAGAAAAAUGAAUGGCUGAAAAUGAAUUACUCUUUAAAAAAUGAUGAUAGGAGUCUUGUAAUCAAGAUCAAGAGUAUAGAUAUUAUUUUAAAUAGUUUAAAGAAUUUUCUAACAAAAAUUCAUUUGAUUUGGAUAUCUUUACGCCGUUAAACGAGAAAACGCUUCUUAUCGACCAUUAAAAUUACAAAUUUUGAAACCCUUUGAUCGUUAGGCAAAUGAUGUCGAAAAGAUUUGAAAUUUGAUUUCUAAACACUUCAAGUGGUAUAGAUCAUGUUCAACGGAGCCGAUCGUCAAUUUGGACUUUGGUUUGGAUUAGUUUUUUUUUUUAUUUGGUGCUGGUCUAUAUGAGGAGAUCCAUGUAGUUUGGAGUGUGGGUUUGAACUUUGGUUCUUAAGUUUCAUGAAGAUCUGAAUUGGUUUUGAUAAAUUCUUAGUCCAGGCUUGAUCUGAUUUUGGCAUUUUUUUUUAUGGUCUAGUUUGGGUUAGAUUUGUAUUCAAACUUGGGCCUGGGCUUGGUAUGGUUUUAUGUAAUUCAAGUUAAGGUUCAAUUUUGCUAUGGAUCCAGACAUGGACUAAAUUCGGGCCCAUAUAGUUUGCAUUCAGGCAUGGGCUAAAUUCAGGCCCAUAUAGUAUGGAUUCUUCAGGUUUAGGGCUAAAUUGUAUUUAAGUUCUGGAUGUGGGCUCAGGCUCAAUUUAGGCCCAGAUGGCUUAGGUCCAUGUUUUCUUUGGGCAAGCUACAAAAUUGGACUCAAAUUCAAGUUUGGGCUGAACUUGGGUCAUGUGAUUUAGAUUUAAAUUUGAGGUGAGUACACCUUGGUCCCAUACGAGAGAUUUUUUUUAUUUUGAGGUGGUUAGUUUGAGAUUAUUUGGGACUUUUUCGAGAUCAAAAUAUUAACCUCAAAAUUUUAAAUAUUUGAUUCAGAAUCAAAUUCAAUGCUUAAAAUUUUGAAUGCACUUUUUUAAAUUUUCAAAUUCUCAGUUAUGAGUAACGAAAAUUCAACUCACAUUAAUUAUAAUGAAAAGAUUAAAAUCAACUUCAACAUCAUGACUUAAUUUAAUUUGGAGCAUAAAGCAUCCAAUGCGAUUAAAUCUCAAUUUGGUCUAAUUUGGUCAAAUCGAGAGGUUCGACUCUGGAUAGAAUCAAGGGGGGGUCGAACAUCCCGUUGUUUUUCCAAUAAAAGGACGAUGAAAAGAGUAACAAUCGGUAACCCGAUUGAUUUCUUUUGCCUCCCAAUUAUGAGAGCAUUUUUCUCUCUUUAUCUUCUUUGAAGGUAUAGAACAACAAAUAUGGAUAAUCCUUUUUUGCCUCUUUUAUAUUCAUGGGACAACUAAGGUGGAAAAAUUCCCUCCUUGCCUCCCUUUUAGUAACAAAGCUCCUCUUUCCUAAUUGGAGGAGUAAUUUCUCUCUCUCUUUUGGUAACAUUUUUUUUUUUUUUUUACAAAGAGAAGAGCACUGCUCUCUCUCUUUUGAUGACACAUUUUUUUUUAUAAAGAGAAGAGCACCGCUUUCUCUCUCUAUAUGCAGCUUAGGUUCGCCGUUGAAAAAUGCAUCUUGGGCAUUUCAUCGAAUAGUUGGUAGGCAUGGUGCGUUGUGCAACACCGGUCUCAAGAUUGCAUUGGAGUUGCAGCAGAGUUGCAGAUAGAGGUCACAACAGAGUUGGAGGUCGCGGCUACGACAGAGUUGAUGCAUCGGCAAUGUCGAGGGUGAAGGCCGUCACGGCAUGUAAGUUGAGGCGCAACGGCAUUAGAGAUGGGGUUGGAAAGCAUGCAGGUUGGUGUCGAGGGCGGUGGACUCGGGCACUCCAUUGACGGCGGUGUUGAGCUCAACCAUCUUUGCCUUGCUCGCACGAGAUGAUGCGAUUACGAUAAUAUGAGAAUUGAGGCUAUGGCAUGCAACCAUGAUAGAGAGAGAGGACUUUUUUUUAGAAGAGAGAGAGAACUUGUUUUUUUUAAAAGAGAGAGAAGACUUUUUUUUUUAUAAAAGAGAGAGAGCUUUGUCAUGAAGCAUCAAUAGGAAAAAAAAUUGUUAUUAUUACCUAUUUUUCUUCUUCUCUUUCGUGAAGAGAGAAUAGGUAAUAGGAUGUGUGUUUUUUUUUGUUGAGAAUAGGUUAGAAAGUAGAUUCAAAAGUAGGUUCCAAAGUAGGUUUUUUUUGUGGGUGAUAUUUAUGGGCCAAGUUAUAACUACUUGGGAUUUUUUUUUUGAAGAACGUGCAUAUGGUGGGGUUGUGGGAGGUGUGGGAAGUUGAGAUAUUUUGGCCUCUUUUGUACGGUUAUGGGAUCAUGGAUAUGAUGAUAUUGCAAAUUAGCCCCUCUUAUUUGUUUAUAUUAUUUUUUUUACUUUAGUUAUAGUAUUUUAAAAGUAAAUAAAAUAAAAUAGUAAAAACUAAUAUUUUUUUAAAAUAUGUAUAUAGAUACGCAUGUGUUUACUAAUUUUUUUACUUUAUUUUAUUUUAUUUUUUUACAAAGCAAAAUAUUUAUAUGUUUUUAUUGAAGUGGAGCACCUCACAAAUAUAUAAAGGCAAAGGACUAAUUUGCUAAUUUGUAUAUAUGGAAUAGCCAUGUGCCUAAGAGAGAUAUUAGCGUUCUCUCUUUUCCUUUUUUUCAGUAGUCUAUGCACCUAGUGCAUAGAUUAACCUAUGCACCAUGUUCCUAAAUUUUCUACCAUUCAAAAGUUGGAUUCAAAUUUUCUCUCUCUUUUUUUUUUAUGCUUUAACACCAUUCAAUCGAGGGUUCCAUCUCCCGCCGGCUACCCUCACGCCUUCCGCUGUGGGAGUCCAUCGUCGCGAGGAAGCACGUUCCGAGGAAUAUCUUAGUGGAGGGCUCCCGCCGUCGUCGGCCUCCACCGUGGGGUUCGACCUUCAAGAAGCACUUUCCGGGGAACUGAAUGGCGAGGUCCCGCCGCCGUUGGCCUCCACCGUGGGGGCCGACCUUCAAGAAGCAUUUUUUGGAGAACUGAAUGGAGAGGUCCUGCACCAUCGGCCUCCACCGUGGGGGCCGAACAUCAAGAACCUUUCAAUUGAGGGUCUCCGAAGUGCUCCACCUUGACGGCCGACCUCCAAGUGCUCCCCGACAAAACUUUCAGUAGAGGCCUGUCUCUCCACUCAAUCUGUCGUCGCUGAUGGCGAAACUGUCCGCUUCUAGAGUCCACCGCCAAGGGUGGCCGGCCAACCUUCGGAGAUGGACUCUCCACCCCGUCAUUGUCCUACUGCAGCAACCGACACCGCUGUGGAUGCUGCCCUCCAUAUCAAGGGCCCCUCCUCAAAGGUGACAGGCCAGCCUCCGGAGAUUCCCUGGCGGUUCACAAGUCCUCACCCUCCUCCCGAUACAGCGAAACCUCUCUCUUGCCAAUGUCCCACCAAGAUGCCCCCCUUUCCUUCAUCUUCGUCUUCAAAGCCCCAAUGCAUAGUCUGUCGAGCAGCAGCAGAUGCCACUCCCUAAUGCAGUGACUUCCACCCUAGGGUAUCUCCAAAUCUGCCAAAGUCUACCACACCGCCUAUGCUGUUGCCUGCGCUGCCUGUUUGGCCGACUCAUACCAGUUACAGUGAGGACCGCCAUGAUGGGAGCAGUGUCAACGACGGCGGUGGCGCUGUUGAUGAUGGCGGCGGCGCCGACGGCGAUGGCGGUUGCGCCGACGACGAUAGUGGCAGUUCUAGUGAUUAUGUUGGUGGCGCGAAGAAUGAUAGUGGUAGCAGCACGACAUCAAACAACGAGGUAAGAAAUUUUAUCUUGGCCUUUUACCUCAUAGCUCCUUACAACACUAUGAAAUUAGAAUAAGUAUAUCUAGAUAGAUAAUUGUUAUUACACGUGUAUUUCCAGGUAUAAUUAGAAGUAAGAAGUUUGAUUUUUGCCCUUUGAAAGAUCUCGACAUCUAUAAUUUGAUAGGAUAAUAGGAUAACAUAAUUUAGGUAUGACCUUAUAUAGAUACAUAAAUAUCUCAUUACGAACAGUCAUUUAAUUUAAUUAAGCAGUUGUAGUAUAGUGUAGAUGAGAAAUGUGGUCAGACGUCUAGAAUGUAUUAAUAUAUUCCACUUUCUAUCUAAAUUUUUUGGAUAUGAUAAGUCACCUUAUGAUCCUGUUUGGAUGCAUGAAUAUUUUGUUCCAUAUAUCCUCUUAGUUUAUUGAAGAAAUUUGUACAAUUGGAUGAUGAGAAGUAUAAUCAAAUAUUCGGUCUUCAAUUUAAUUUUUCAAAAUAAAUAUAGCUGAAAUAUGCUAUCCUAAAAUCAUAGAUAGCAAGACCUUUCGGCAAUGUUUGGAUGCAUGAAUAUUUUGUUUGGUAUGUCUUUAUGAUUUACUCAAGGCCUUGUUUAGAUGCUGAUGUAGGACAAUUUAGGGAGUUUAGAGGUUUUUGAGAAUUGCUUAAAGAUACAGAUCGGGCGAUUCGAAGAAAUCAAACUAAAAAUAAAUAAACGAUAAAUCCGAAAAUUCGAAAACUCAAAUAAGAGAUUAGUUAGGGAAAAUUCACACCUUCAAGUUUCCACAAGGUCGGAUCCAUUGCAUGCAGGGGGCAAGUCAGUUUAACUUUUUUCGAUCAUUGGAUCUUAGCCACUUUGUUAGAACUUCUAGAAUAGUGAAAAAAAGAGUUAGGGUAAGGGUUUAGAAAGGAUGGAAUUAGGAAAUAGAGUAAUAGAAAAUUAGGGUUUAGAAUUAUCUGCAGAAAGAAUAGAGAAAUCGAAGUUAGUUUUUGUGUCAUUUUUGCGCCAAAAAUACUCUAAUGCUCCUCAAACUCAACCAAAAUAAUUUGAAUAAUAUUAGAUGCUAUUUUUCACACUGGAACUUUGUUGUUUGCAAAAGUUUAGUGUACUACACGCCGCCGGCAAGAUGCUUCCGGCUAGCGCGAGGAAGAAGCAUAUCUGGUCGAGACGUAAAUAUGAGGGCCCCAAAUAUACUAUCCUACCAAAUUAUGGAUUUUGAGACCUCUCAAGGAGCAAAUAUCAAAGUCCUAGCUUUCAACGUUGUCUGAAAAUUCUCACGGAAUAAGUUAUCAUCUGAUAUCCAAACAUGGCCAUAGAGGUUAUAGUAAUCAAAUAAUUCUUUUCUCUUUGUGGUAUGGAUUUAAUAUCCGUUAUUAAUCUGAUAUAUUUUUUCUUUAUUUAGAUAAUGCAAGAUAAACUGAUUCCCUUGUAUAACGACUCUCGAGUGGUAUACUGCUUUGCUUGCGGACUCAAAGGAAAGGUAGGAAACGAUAUGUAUCCAUCAAUUCAUUUGAGGACCACAACAAAUUGCAUAGAAAUUUGAAGUAUGAGUGCAAUGAAUGCUAGAAUAAAUUUCAGGCACAAGCGACAUGGAAAUCCAUAAGGAUCUAUACCAUAGGUAGGAAUUCAAUUUUUUUUUUCAAUUGUAUACUCCUCUUACUUUCAGCGAUGUAAAUUCUCUCAUUGAUAUAUCCCUAUCAGCACCUUUAUUGUAGUGAUUGCUUUUAAAUUAGACGAGCAUCUUUUAAGACACUGUAAAUUUGUACAAGAUGUCAUGAUUGGUUGAGUUCGUAUUGAUCCAACAGAAAAAAGAAACAUUAUGAAAGGAUUCAUCUUCCUGGAAAAUAAAUUUAAAAUAGAAAAACUGAAGCUUGGUCAGUAUUAAUGAUUCUCUUGUACGUUUAGAGCUGUAAAUAAGUUGGGCAUGAGGUGAGCUUAUUAAAUUACUUAUAUUAUUUUAUUAUGAAUGAUGUAUGUUAUUUAUUACAUGAAAAUACUGAAAUCAAAUAUUAUUUAAUAAAAUUGUAUAGCUUUUAAAUAUUAUGAUAAAAUUUAAUUAUUAUAUAAUAGUUUACUAUUUAUAUUAUUUUUAUAUGUUUAAAGGCAUAAUAUAAAUAAUAUUUAUAUUUUAAAAAUAAUUUAGAAUUAUCAGCAUUUACUAAUGCUAGAAUCAACAAUAGAAUACCAAUAUUUAUAUAAUAUUACAAAUUAAUUAAUAAUUAUCAAUAUUUAUUAGUACUGCAAAUGAUUAAAAAAUAUAAGUAUUUAAAUAAUGUUUGUAAUAGUUAUGUAUAGUGACAAUAGUUUAAUGUUACUAAUUAUUUAACAUUAAUGAUAAUCUAUUUAAAUACCGAUAGAAGAUUCACCAACAUGAGCAUAAAAACCAUUAAAAUCUUAAUGUCACUAAUAGUUUUUGUAUCAAUUUUUGAACUUUAGGUAGCAAUAAUCAAAUGUCGCUAAAUAACAUUUUUUUUUACUAAUUUUUAUAGGGAUAAAAAUAAAAAGUUGAACUUCGUAGGGAUAUAUCUGUUAUUCUAUAUGUUUACAUGGAGCUGUAUGUAAUUAUUCCUAAAAUAUUUGAUAAAAUUUGGAUGCACUAAUUAUAAAAAUAAAAAGAUGAUAAAAUUUAGGGAUCUCUUUACAAAAGGAUAAAGUUGAUAGGGCUUUAUAUAUUUGGUAUCAACCAGUGUGGCAUCUUCUGAGGCUAAAACAUCGAGCCUUUUACAAUAACACUCAAAACCCACUGUGGUGAAUUCGUGUUCUCCAUUUCAUGGCGAGUUCGGAUUCCGGCGAGACUUGUGGUUCUCUUCAUCCUAAAAACCCAUGCAAUAACAUUUCUUCCCCCACCGAUGCUAUGCCCUACACGUGGGGGAUCCACUCUCAAGAAGCCCUUCCCAUCACAUGUCUCAACAACAGUUGUCCUUUCGUCUCCCAAUGCCCCCGAUGCCGACUGCAAUGUAUUUUACCGCUGGCGUCAGUUCAUAGGAAACCCUUCCCGACGAACCUCUCAACGGAAGUCUCCUCUCCUACCGCCUACUGUUACGUUUUCCAUCGUGGGCGUCCAGCAUCAUGAGAAACCUUCCAAUGGAGAGCUCUCUUGCCUUCUACCGCCGACAUCCUCCACCGCGGCGGCCGAUCUUCAAGAAGUGCUUUUCGAGAAACAUCUCAAUAGAGGGUUCCCGCCGCCAACACCCUCCACCGUGGGAGUGGACCUUCAAGAAGUGCUUUUCAGGGAACAUCUCAAUGGAAGGCUCCCGUCGAAGUCGCCCUCCACCGUAGGGCCCGAACUUCAAAAAGCGCUUCUUGGAACCUUUUAAUAGAGGGCCGCCAACGCUCUCCACCUUGGUGGCCGACCUCCAAAAUGCACUUCCCAACAAAACUUUCAAUGGAGGACCGUCUCGUCCCCUCAACCCACCGCCACUGAUGUCGAAAUCGUCUGCUUCUAGAGUCCACUACCAAGAAGCUCUCCUUCGAGGAUGGUCGGCCAGCCUUCGGAGAUUCCUUGGUGGUUCGUGGACCCUUGCCCUUUUCAGAUGUGGUGAGGCUUUUCUCUCCCCAUUGUAUUAGGGGCCCCUCCUCAAGGGUGGCAAGCCAGCCUUCGAAGAUUCCCUUGCGGUUUAUGGAUUCUCACCCUCAUCCCGAUGCAGUGAAGUCUUUCUUUUCCCAAUGUUCCACCAUGAUACCUCAUCUUUCUUUAUCGUCAUUUUCUCAGCCCCUGCAUGGUUGCCCCAGUAGCAACCUUCCAAUAUGGGGUCUUCCAUACUUGGGCAUCUACCUUCCCGGAGUCUACCAUACCGCAGGUAUUGUUGCCUGUGCUACCCGUCUGGCCGACUCAGGCCAGUUACAGUGAGGAUGACCGCGGUGAAAGCAGUGUCGACGAUGGUGGUGGCAUUGUUAAUGAUGGUGGUGGUGCCGCCAGCAAUGGUGGCAGUGCUGAUGAUGACAGUGGUGCCUACGACAAUAGUGGCAGUGCAGAUGAUGAUGGUGGUGCCAACGACAAUAGUGGCAUCGAUGACGAUGGUGGUAGUUUUAAUAAUGAUGGUGGCGCCGACGAUAAUAGUGGCAGCUCAGAUGAUUACAUUGGUGGCACUGAUGAUGAUAGUGGCAGCAGCAUGGCGUCAAGCGAUGAGAUAAGAAAUUUUAUUUUGGCUUACCUCAUAGCUCCUUACAACACAAUGAAAUCAGAAUAAAUAUAUCUAGAUAGAUUAUUGUUAUUGUACAUGUAUUUCCUGGUAUAAUUAGAAGUAAGAAGUUUGAUUUUUGCCUCUUGAAAGAUCUUGACAACUAUAAUUUGAUAGGAUAAUAGGAUAACAUAAUUUAGAUACGGAUACAUAAAUAUUUUAUUCCAAUUAAGAAGUUGUAAUAUUUUGUAAAUGAAAAUGUGGUCACACGUCCAAAAUGUAAUAACAUAUUCCAUUUUUUAUUGAAUUUUUUUUCAAUAUGAUAAGUCACCUUAUUACCCUAUUUGGGUAAUGAAUAUUUUGUUCCAUAUGUACUCUAAAUUUACUAAAAAAGUUUGUAUGAUUGGACAAUGAGAAGUAUGAUCAAAUAUUUAGAAUUAUGUAUUAUAUUCGGUCUUUAAGUUUAUUUUUCAGAAUAAAAUAGAUCACAUUAUAGCUGAAAUAUGCUAUCCUAAAAUCAUGGAUAGUAAAGCCUUUCGGCAAUGUUUGGGGGCAUGAAUAUCUUGUUUGGUAUAUCUCUAUGAUUUAGUUAAGGCCUUGUUUGGAUACUGAUGUAGAACAGUUUAGGGGAUUUAGGGAUUUUUGAGAAUUGCUUAAAAAUAAGGAUUGUGCGAUUCCAAGAAAUUAAACUAAAAAUAAAUAAAUGAUAAAUCCGAAAAUUCGAAAACUCAAAUAAGAGAUUAGUUAGGGAAAGAUCACACCUUCGAGUUUCUGCAAGGUUGGAUCCAUCGUAUGCAGGGGGGCGAGUCAUUAACUUCUUUCGUUCAUUGCAUCUUAGCUCUUCUAGAAUAGUGGAAAAAAGAGUUAGGGUUAGGGUUUAGAAAGGGAUGGAAUUAGGAAAUAGGAUAAUAAGAAAUUAGGGUUUAGAAUUAUUUGCAAAAAGAAAUAGAGAGAUCGAAGGAUUCAACGACGGCUCGUUUCCACGAAGCGGGCUUGGAUCGCAAUCUCGUUAGAUGGUUGUUGCGGCAACGACGAGUCAAGUUCUUCCUUGAGAUGUGAAUCGACUCCUGAGUUGACCCUUGAGUGCUCCACUUACGGAUCAAUGACUCGGUUGAGAAGGGAUCGGUUCAAUCCGGUUCUUAUGGGACUAUUCACAAUUGUUCCAAAUACAAGCUCGGCUGAAUGAGCAAAGUGGUUUGUAUUUAUCAGGAAAAUAGGAAUAUAAGUGCUGUUACAGAGACGAAUCUACUCUUAGGAACACUACCCUACUACGUUUUUAACUAAGCUCUUGAAAAGAAAAUUAACAGAAAAUUAUAUGAAAAUUAACUUCUAGGAAAACUAUAAAUGACGAAAAAAUAAAAUAAAAUUUGAUGUGGUCUCUUACUCGUGUGAAGGACUCAUCUUACAUGCGUGUUUUUUUUUAUUUAUAAUCCCACUUGUCGUUAUCGGGUUAAUCCAAUCGUGGAGGUUUCUUUGGCCACGUUCCUUGUCACGCCUCGAGCCCGGUCCUAUUUGGCCGGUUCGAGCACGUCGAAUAGACGCCGAACGAACAGAGCCUCCCCUGUCCGCCCUAGGCUCAACAACAAGUACAAGUAGACUAUAAAAUUUGCACAUGAGGAAGCAUACAUAAUGACUUACACGAGGGCAAGUAAUAGCCAAAAUGAGAGUACUAUCUAAACAUCAUACAAGUAAUAUGAUUAACUUUAAAUCACAUACAUGCAUUCAAAUUAUAAGUUUUAUUACAUUCUUUGCAUCAUUUCUUCUCUUUACAUCACAUGAUAACCCAAAGUAAAUCUCUUUGCAUUAAAAUAUAAUUCCUUUUACAUCAUUCAUAUUCUUCCAUUAAAACAUCUAUUGUCAUCAAAAUACAAAAGAUGAUGUAAUAGGGUAUGCAACUAGACCAAAAUAUGAAACCAACUUGGGUGGUCUCUAGCUAUGGCGCGAUACCUUUACCGCGAUCAUCUGCCGGCUCGUUCGGUCCCGGCUCUAUGAAAAUAGUAGGGUGAGAACUACAACAAAGUUCCCAGUGGGUUCGGUAACCGACCUCGCCGACUUUCCCACUAGAUCUAAAUCAGGCAUACUAGAAGAAAGAAUAGAUAGUAACCAACUAAUAAAUGCAGCUAAUAUGCCUGAACAAUAUAUAGUCAAUCAUAUGGUCAAUGAAAUGCUCAUGAUGAAUGCAAGUUUGCUUUACACUGUUCAAUCUCGUGGCUAACCCCUCGGGCCCUAAGCCUCCUCCCGCCGGGUUCCAUAACUUACCAACACAAGUCCCUAAUUGCGGGCCCUAAGCUUCCUCCCGCUAGGACUGUCCUCUGGGGGUUCCACAUCCCAGUGAUGACAACUCCGGAGCUCAUUGCUCGAGAGGGAGCGACCUUCCUCAAGCCAAGACUAUAGGCAAGUAUAAUCAAUCCUUAUCUUUAAGGAUACCAAUGCUCAUGUGACCCUUAACUUUAAGGUUUCUAUGUCACAAUGUCACAAUUUCUAUUUAUUUGCAUUCUUUAUCUUUCACUAGUGUCAUAUAUACUACCAUGUUCUUUGUACUCAUCCACUAAUGCCACACUUGUUCUCUGAGUGUUCAACUCUAGCAUUCUUGUCCCAUUAAUGUCACUAUCGUAACACUAGUAUUCAAAACUAUUUAAUGCCACUCUCUACAUUUAUGUCCACAUGUAACUUUUGUUAUCUACAUCAACUAGGUUCUUAAUAGGAUUACACAAGUUCCAACUCUUUUAAAAUCAUUUCUCGUGCAUUUGUACUCACAACAUGCAAAUAAAAGCUCUCAAUUAACCCUAUCAUGCACAAUGCUCAAUAUACACUUAUGCUAAAAAAUGAUACUUUAGACAUAAAAGGAAAUUUAACGUUUUCGGAAUGCACCACCCACCUUAUAUGGUUAUAAGGGUGCUACGGUUCAAUUCUUGAAAAUUUUUGGCGCAUAUUCCGCGUGCUGCGGCUAUCUGUACCAAAAAUGACGUUUUUGUCAAUAUCUUUAUUUAGACCUUUUCGUUUCGUCAAACCGAGCGCUCCAACGCAUCGAAAAUAUCCCUAAUUAAGUUUCCACAAGAUCAAUUUGCCUCGAAAAUGAUCGAAAGUAAAAGCCCCAAAUUUGGUGCCCUAAUAAUGCCAUAUAUAGAUUUUCCUUAGAUUGAUCUUGCAACUAAGCAAAUACUAGCUUAGAAUCAUCUAGGAAGCUCUCUAAUACCAUCUCUAACUCAUUUGAACCAUUCCUAGGGCAUCUAGAACUAACCUUAGAAGUUCACCAUUAGAGCACUUUGAAGAAACCAUAGAUUUCAUGUUUUUCAAGGUCUCUACGAAGCUUCUAGCUUUGUAAGAAGAUCAAAACUCUAUGAUUAAGGGAAUAAAUCCAAACCCUAGAAGUGUUCUUGCAUAAACUCACCUUAGCCCAAAGCACUCCCAAGGUUCACCUUGUAAAAGAGCUCCUUGACCUUCUAAACCUCCAAUCCUUCCUUGAACCUCCUCCAAUCCUUCCCCUCCUUGCUCUAGGGAAUGGUCACUAGAGAGAGAAAGAGAGAAAUGAGGGAGAGAGGGUGAGGUUGCUAUGUAAACAGGGGGAAAGAGGUGAGUUGGGUUAUUUAUAGGUUGUAACAUUAGCAACCAAGCCCUCCCAAAAACCUAUAUUUGCAGUAGACUAAAUCUUUGUUGCCAGACCAAAAUGUACCGGUACACAUGACUCUGUCACCGGUGCACCUUCGCGCAGAGGCAAACCCGAAAGCAGCCCUCUCGGGUUCGCAGCAUUUGUACCGGUACAAACCAUUUUGUACCGGUACACUUCCUGCCUUUCUCAAACCCGAGAGCUAUCUCCCCUCGGUCUGCUGUAUUGUACCGGUACAACAUUAGUGUUGUACCGGUACAAAACGUUCAGAAUGCAGUUUUUGCACUUGUUCGACUUCUCUUCGCGCUGAGCAAUGCUAAAACCCUUCUGACUCUUCUAGAACUCACUUUUAACUCUUCCAAACUUGCUGGAAUGUUAAAUAGAACUUGUCCAAUUAAUUCCUUUGGACACUUUUGUAAUGCACUGGACUUUUGCAAAUUGCGAGGUUUGAGUGAUUGGAUGUGUUCUGAGUUUUUCCAGACUUUCUGGUGGGUCGUUGACAGUGUUCCGACCUAUGGCUCGUAUCCUGAGAAGUGAGAUUUAAAGCUUAGCACCAAAACCCGAAAAAACGGAUUUUUGGUUAAGCUCUCGGGUAGCCUUCAGUGGUCUGUGUACCGAUACAGGGUGAUGGCUAUACCAGUACAGCCAUCAACAUUGGCUGCUUCUCAGCCAACCUGAGGCUCGGGUUUGGCUAUUUCGUGGGAUGUGUACCGGUACGCGAGCCCGUGUACUGGUACGCAGUGGCAAUUUUGAGCAGUUUGAACUGCAGGGGUGUUUUUGCUAUUGUAGCAUCUCUAUAAUACCACCCACGCCUCUUUGCUGGUCUCCUAAGCUGGGAAACACAGAAGGACAAGGUGGGGAGCCCUUCUCUUCUCCUCUUUUGAUUUCCUUCCCUUUUUGCUUGAAUUUUGAAGGUUUAAUCCCUCUCUUUUUCCCUCUUGGUGCAUUUCCACCUUGGGAGAAGCUUGGGAGCUUGGAGUUGAGCUUGUUGGAGGUGUGAUCUUCGACCCUUGUGGGUUUUGAACCUUGUUUGAGGCUUCAUGAGAGGUUAGUUGCUUACUAUUUUUCUUUCUAUCAUGAUUUUCAUGAUUUUUGUAUACAAACCCUAGAAAUGAGGAUUUAGGGUUUGUUUUGGAAAUUUUUGAUCUAGGGCUUUUGGAGCUCAAUCGAUUGGUUUAGAACCUUCCCCUAGGUUGGUUUGGCAGGGAUCUAGCUCCCAUUUGGAGCUUGAAAGGGAUUUUCUACACUUAGAUAAGAUUGUGCCCCUAUCUUGAGUUUGUUAUUGUUUUGAGCUUGUUGUUGUUCGUUUCGUUUGGGUGACACCUCUAGUUUAACCUUUAGGGAGCUAGGAGGCUUGUGGGCAUCUCGCUUCGGCGAAACGAAGGAUUUCAAGAAGACUUGCUGGGUUUGGCCGCACCAAAAUGAGAUAAAAUUCUCAUAUUAUGGUUUUUAUUUAUCGUAAAGUGAAAAUGCAUGUAUAUUCUUACUAGAUAGAAUAUUUGAGAAUUUUAGAAUACUUAAAAUGCACAUGUUAUAUACAAUACAUAUUUGACCUUUAUGUAGUAGAGAGUUUUCAUGUUGGGCUAGGGGCCUACGGUUAGCAUUCUCAUACUUGAUUGUGGUUCACGUUUCAAUUAGUGAAAUUGAUGAGUGUAUUGCAUUUUGGACUAAAUAUGGAUUUAGCAAGCAAAUGUUAUAAAAGGGCAUUAAGUUUGGUAUAUAUAUAUGGACUUAUUAAACUUAUUGUCAUAAUGGGACAUUAGACUUGAAUGAUAAGUGAUUUGCAUGUGCAUGUUAAUAUUAUGAGAGUUAUGUAAGCGGGUAGUCGCAUUGGAAAGUGCAUGCAUGUAGCAUUAUGAGAACUAUGCUAAGUUGACUGUUGCACGUAUUAACCUAUUAUUGAUAGGAUAAGCUAGUGUCAUAAAGUGGCAUUAGGCUUGGAACAUGUGUGAAUCUAAUAAGGUAGUGCCAUAAAAAGGCAUAGAAUGCAAAGUGUGCUUAGAGUAUAGCAAUGUUUAAGUGUCAUAAAGAGGCACUAAACAUAGUGAAUGUUGGAACUUCACCCUGAGACUUGGACUUCGUAAAGCUAAGGUCAUCGACAUAGAAAUUAUUGAACGGUUAAACCUUCACAUUGAGACAUAAUACUAAACCUUUGGGUUGCUAGUGACUGUUACCAUGUUAGAGACAUGAUGAUUGGGUACUUGAGACAGAUCAUGCUUGCUUGCCAUUUGUGCUCAUUCGCACAUGCUUGUACGAGUCGCUCCCUACAAGCCGGCACUUCGGAGUUAGGCUACGCGACUUAUGUUCGCUUGUGCGGUAUCGAGUAGCCUACGGGGCCUGGAGGGAUAGACUCAUUCCUAGAGUGGGAAUGCUGGAGCUACCACUGGCACUUAGGCGGCACAAGCCAGACCUCACCUGUGUAGGUCCUAACUGAGAUUGAACCAGAAUAUUAAACAACAAGUUGAUAAUCACUACUAGACAGGUCAUAGUAGUUGGAUUCCUUGACAUGCUACGGCAUAGGGUUGGACAUUGAGAUACAUAGUGUACUUGACGGUAUCGCUUAUGGCAGUAGUAUACUUGGUUGCCAUGAUAGUACAUACUAGAUAUGUAGUUGGCUUUAGGACAUAUAUCAUACUUCAUUGUAUUACUUGUUGCAUCAUAGCAUACUUGUUUAAGUAUUGGCAUACUGGAUCAUGUAGAGUAGAUGUACUCCAUGUUGACAUUCUACAUACUUGUGGCACAGUAGAGUAGCAUCUUUUUAUUAUGCUUCAUUUACCGCAGUUAAUUUCUGUUAUCUUUAUCUGCUCUAUUUUGGGCCUAGUGGUGCAGUUGGUGCAGGUCAGUAAUUGCCCACUGGGAACUAUAAAUUAUAGUUCUCAUGCCCCCUGUUUUAUGUUUUCUUUCAGAGCCUUCCACUUCGGGAGGGGCUCGGGAUCGUGGGAAAGGUUUCGCCUCGAGCUAGCUAUCGAGGGAUUUGGCGAUAGGUGGUCUAUCUCUCUUCUGUUUUCUCUUGGAGAGGUUGUGAGAGUUUUGUACCUUGUUAUUGAGACCACCCUACUUUUGUAUCUUGAGAGUCAUGAUGUAUUAGUUUACUUUAUGCUUUAGUAGUAUUGUUUUCUUUUGACUCUACCUGAUGUUAGAACCUAGCUGUGUAUUUGUUCUGAUAUCUCUAGAUACUUUCAACUUCUUGCUCAUUUAUUCGUUUUGUUGUAGACGCCUUAUAUGUGCAGGCAUAUGGCAGGUCUCGGCAUGUGCCGGGC